AUGGGGCACGAUAAGGUGCUAUGGGGCACGAUAGGGUUCUAUGGGGCACGAGAGCCGUGGGGCAGAGGAGCAAGGGCUCCACGCCGUGGCUAUGGGGCAGGAGAGGGCUCGCCGUGGGGCAGAGGGUCCGGAGCCGCAAGCCACGCCGCCUCGGUGACCGUCCCCACCGUCUUCCCCUUGGUGGCCUGUUCGGGCGGCACCUCCUCCUCGGUGGUGGUGGCUUGUUUGGUGGACGGUUAUUUCCCGGAACCGGUGAAGGUGACGUGGGACAGCGGGACGUCACCCGCCGUCACCCGGACUUUCCCCGCCUCCCGCCGGCCCUCGGGGACGUACACCUUGGGGAGUCAGCUCCGCGUCACCAGCGGGCAGCCCGACAGCCUCCAGUGCACCGUGGAGCACCCGCCCUCCGGCUUCAAGAAGACCACCGGCAUCGAAGGUACAGUCUUCAAGCGCCACGUCCCCACCGUCGGCCUCUUCCACGCCUGCGACGUCGACUCCGUCCACCUCGUCUGCCUCGUCUCCCACUUCUCCCCCGCCGCCGUCACCGUGGAGUGGUUGGUGGACGACCAACGCCUCAGCCCCGCCCCUUCCGUUGACCCCGUUGUACCCGAAGCCACCGGCGGGACCUUCCGUACCAGCUCUCACCUCAACGUCUCCUUGGAGGAUUGGCAGCAGAAGACCUUCUCCUGCAAGGUCACCCACCCCGGCUCGGGCAGCGUGCAGGAGGUCACCGGCCACAAGUGCUUGAGUGCCCCGCCGGACGCCAGCAACAUCCAAGUCUUCAUCCUCCCCCCCACCCCCUCGGAACUCUACGUCUCCCAAAACCCCAAACUCCGUUGCUUGGCCACCAGUUUACCCAGUGACGAGGGUGUGGUGGUGAGCUGGACCCGGAAACGGGGGGGCACCCUCCGUCCCCAACUUCACCCGCUGAGGGCCCAGUUCAACGGCACCUUCACGGCCACCAGCGAGGUCCCCAUCUCCACCCACGACUGGGAGGGGGGCGAGACCUUCACCUGCACCAUCAACCACGCCGAGCUGCCCUCCCCCAUCAGCAGGAGCAUCAGCAAGAAACCCGGCAAGCGCCUGGCUCCCAGCGUCUACCUGCUGGCUCCGCCCUCCGAGGAGCUGAGCGGCAACCGGGACACGCUCAGCUUGACCUGUUUGGUGCGAGGCUUCUACCCCGAGGACAUCUCGGUGGAGUGGCAGAAGAACCAAGAGACCUUGGACGCCUCCACCUACGACACCGUCCAACCCCUGAAGGAGAAGACGGGCGACGCCUCCUACUUCCUCUACAGCCGAUUGGUCGUCAAGAGGGAGGAGUGGAACCGGGGAACCACCUUCGUCUGCAUGGUGGUCCACGAAGCGCUGCCCAUGAAGUUCAUCCAACGUAGCAUCAGCAAGAGCCCCGGUAAAAAAUGAGGCGGUGGCACCGCCGUCGGCCACCGCCCCCUCCCCCCACCCCUCCCCUCCCCCCCCCACGUCUUGGGUGGGUGAAUAAAGGAGAAGAAGUCAG